GACGAACGCUGGCGGCGUGCCUAACACAUGCAAGUCGAGCGAGUGGAGUUCUUCGGAACAAAGCUAGCGGCGGACGGGUGAGUAACACGUGGGCAACCUGCCUCAUAGAGGGGAAUAGCCUCCCGAAAGGGAGAUUAAUACCGCAUAAGCUUGUAGCUUCGCAUGAAGUAGCAAUUAAAGGAGCAAUCCGCUAUGAGAUGGGCCCGCGGCGCAUUAGCUAGUUGGUGAGGUAACGGCUCACCAAGGCGACGAUGCGUAGCCGACCUGAGAGGGUGAUCGGCAACAUUGGGACUGAGACACGGCCCAGACUCCUACGGGAGGCAGCAGUGGGGAAUAUUGCACAAUGGGGGAAACCCUGAUGCAGCAACGCCGCGUGAGUGAUGACGGCCUUCGGGUUGUAAAACUCUGUCUUCAGGGACGAUAAUGACGGUACCUGAGGAGGAAGCCACGGCUAACUACGUGCCAGCAGCCGCCGCAGUAA
rnacentral:rRNA from 1 species